AAAACAAAACCUUGUGUUCCUUUUAGUUUCUGAUACAUAAUAAACCUUGUUUAAAGACACGAGAAUUAGUAAAUAAGCAUCUCGAUUGUGAUAAUUUUCAGAUGAUAAAAACUGACUGAUGACAAAUUUAAUAUUCAAAGUAUGUCACUACAAAACCAUGGGAUUGAUGGAUGCAACAUAUUUACAACAGUAGUAGUACAAUAUACACUUCGAAAAUUAGGGAUAGCACCAAGGAGGGUCUCUGAAACAACUGGUUAGAACAUUUGUAUUUAAAUGCAACAUGAUGUGGGCAACUCCAUCCUUUGCAGGCCAGGAAACCCGUGAGCGGCUAGUGGCCAAGGCCAUCAUCUGGUUUCCAGUUCCUUUCACCUUCAACAACAGAUCUAGUUUCACCAACAGAAUAUCCCACGGCCCAUGCUCAGAUCAGCACUGCUUGAGAUUACGGCAAACAAUAGCUCGUCAG
rnacentral:lncRNA from 1 species